rnacentral:rRNA from 1 species
GACGUAGGGCGCGAGCGUUUGUCCGGAUUUAUUGGGCGUAAAGAGCUCGUAGGCGGCUUGUCGCGUCGAAUGUGAAAUCUCGGGGCUCAACUCCGAGCUUGCAUUCGAUACGGGCAGGCUAGAGUUCGGGUAGGGGAGACUGAAUUCCUGGUGUAGCGGUGAAAUGCGCAGAUAUCAGGAGGAACACCGGUGGCGAAGGCGGGUCUCUGGGCCGAUACUGACGCUGAGGAGCGAAAGCGUGGGGAGCGAACAGG